rnacentral:rRNA from 1 species
UACGUAGGUGGCAAGCGUUGUCCGGAUUUACUGGGCGUAAAGAGCGCGCAGGCGGUCGAUCAAGUCGCGUGUGAAAGCCCCCGGCUCAACUGGGGAGGGUCACGCGAUACUGAUCGACUCGAAGGCAGGAGAGGGUAGUGGAAUUCCCGGUGUAGUGGUGAAAUGCGCAGAUAUCGGGAGGAACACCUAUGGCGAAGGCAGCUCGCUGGGACGUUACUGACGCUGAGACGCGAAAGCGUGGGGAGCAAACAGG